ensembl:lncRNA
UCCCUGGAGCUCUCCUGCUCCCCUCAGCUGCAGCGCGGCGCUCCCACCGGCCUCCACCUGUACCACCGCGGCGCCCGCAGCCAGACCACCCUGCUGUCCAUGGCCGAGGGCGGCGGCGGCCCGAGGCUCAACGCGGAACACGUGGGCCGCCUCAGGCUCGCCGGAGGCCUGGACAGCCGGCAGGUCAACGUGACCGUGGCCCUUUUGCAGCCCAGUGACACGGGCCUCUACGUGUGGGAGCUGAGCUACGGACGGGGGAACCGCUCUGAGCAGAUGGUCCUCGGUGCUCCGACGGUGUUCUUGUUGGUUGAAGGCGCAGGAGGGUCCUGCCGGUGCUCAGCCAGUUACCCUCUUCUGCUCCUGAUCAUCUUUACCGUAGCGGGGCUUCUUCUGCUCACACUCGGCCUGCUGGCCUUGGAGAAAUGUGUGAAGUCCCGGCAUCAUCACAGACCACAACCCCCUGUUCCCAUCUACGAGGAAAUGACCUGCAAGCAGCGCAGUCCGGUGGCCCCCAAAAAUAACCCUGAGGCCCCCUCACACCUGGAGGAAGUAAACUUCCCCGCGUACGCCAACACGGACAUCCGGCAGCCACAGGACAACUACUACGCAUGUCCCAGGCAGCUCGCCCUCAGGGCCUGAGGUGACUCGGUGGAGCAGAUGUCAACAGGAUGUGACAUCAGCGCCUCUGCAAACACACGAUGAGACGCUCAGGAUAUAUAUAUAUAUAUAUAUAUAUAUAUAUAUAUAUAUAUAUAUAUAAAAUCUAAAAUGGGUUUAGUGAUGGAAAAAAAACACCCAAUUGCCCAUCUUUAACAGCCAAGAAAAAAAUGCUAUUUUAUUAAUAUUUCAAAGAAGCUCCAUAGUUCAUGAAAACAUUUGUUUCGGUGCAUGUCAUUUAACAAUCACAUUCUAUGAGGAGAAAGAGAUAUACAGAGAGAAAAAAAACAAAAAACAUUACAAGCCACUGACUUUUCAUUAAAUCUCAGUACAGACAUUUUUACUCAAUAUUCCAAAUAAAAAAGGCAAAAAAAUGAAGAGGAAAAAAAGCAGCCCUAAUCCAACACCCACCGCCCUCCCAAAAAAACCCUUAACUCAGAAAACAAACCCUUGAGGGUGACAGGCUAGAAUCCCACAGUGCUAACGAGUGAGACGCUCAUUGGUUUUAGGAAUACACAGCAUGGCGAUGUGGCGCUAUAGGUCAAUCUGAAUGGGGAGAAGGAAGCUGGAGGCAGAGAGCUUUACAUGAAUCAACUCGCCCCUGCGCGCCCUUCACAAUAAAAUAAAAAACACAUUGGAUCCCAAAAACCCAGCAACAGAUGAGCCACUUAGAAGUAGGCCAUAAAAUCCCCCCCCCCCCGAAAAAAAACACUUGUGCAUAGUUUCAUGAUCCUUUACAACCAGCUCAUGUUUUAUAAACAUCCUCCAAAAUGGGAAAAAUGUUCCACAAAAGUCUGAUUUCUAUAUUAAUAAUACCCGCUGUGGGAGAAUGAGAGAAAGAGGAAAGAAAGAGUAAUGCACAAAGUUCCUGAUUUAGUCAGGACAGGACCUCAUUUAGAAAACACAAUAAAGAUUCCAACAUACAGCAUUUUGUUAUUCAGUCUUUUUUUUGACAAUCAAAAUCAUUGACCUUUUUCGUUUUUAAAUGUAAAGCAAUUUUAAUAUAUAGAUUUUUUUUUUAUAUAAAGCACUCCAUUUUCAUUUAAAGUCCAUUAUUUGGUUAUUAUGUAACUGCUACGGAUUUAGAAACAAAAGGUAUUUUCUCUUCUUCUGAAACCCAUAACUUUCAGUGCUUAGCAUUGUUUCUUUUAAAUCGUCCAUUUGUUUUACUCAUCAUAGAAAUGUACAUUAAAAUGGCGUGGAGUUGGUACUCUGGAACCCUGGCCUUCCUGAGACAAAAUCCACUUUUUCGUGUGCAAGAUAGUGAGCAAUUAUGUCUUUUUUUCUUUUCUUUUUUUUUCUAUAUAAAGGAAAAAUAUAUAUAAUCAACAUAAAACGUACAGGCUUCAGAUAAUCGAUGAAAUCAACAUUAACACACAACAAAGAAGGUUAAACAGAAGAAGACAACACUGUUCAAUCCCAGAGUUCUGAAAGUAGCACAAGAAAUAUUCAUUUAUUUGAAGUGUUGUGUUUUUUUUCUUUAAUGGAAGCAUUUGUCCUUUUUUUCCUUCUUUUUACAACAUUCCCAUUAUUUAAUUCCUUUGUGUUGCUGAUUUAUUUUUUCGAACUCCAGAAAUAAACAAAGUGUUUGUAAACUGUCAGUGGCCUUGCAGGAAAACAAACGACAACAUGAGUGAAUUGAACGUUGAAGUGAAAACAGAACGGAAAGCUAACAAACCAAAAAGGUAGGCACCUCUGAAGUCAGCCCUAGAAGCCAAGGCUCAGUCUGAUGUCUCUUUCAAUCCCUCCGUUGCUUAGAUUUGGGAGAGCUGAAGUCCUUCUGCCCAAAUCUAUGGCGACAGUUCUGCAAAAUACUUUUUUUUUUAUGCUGAAUUUUAUUUUAUACAUGUCAAUUUUUUAUUUCUUUUCUUUUCUUGCUUUCUUCUUUUUCUCAGGUUUAUAGUCCGAAAAAUGGUGCAAUACUCAAUUAUGAUCCAUACUUUCUUGGAUUAUUCGACAAUGAAAGCCACUAAGGUAGAUAAACAUUACAUUUUAAAAACACACUUAUUUUAGUCCUUGAGUAAACAUUUACACAUGAACUGUCCCCGUCUCCCCUCAGUACGUGUAUCAUGUUGUUCGUUUAGCUGGAUGAGGGAUGAGGCCGACACUCAGUGCAACGCUAGAGGCUAGUCACAAUUAACAUCAGAAUAUAUUUUUGACAAGCGAAAAGAAAAAAAAUCAAAAACAAAACGAUACUUAAUUGAAAAAGAACCACGAGGCGGAGUUUCCUCCGCUGUAAUCACGAGAUCUCAUACAUAUUUUCACCUCGUACACUAAACAUUCGUUCAUACAACAUACGGUACAAGCAGCCUUGUGCAAACACUCAAAUACAACAGACAUAAAUUUACCUUUAUAUCGACCUUUGUUUUCAACACUCGUUUUCCAAAUUUUAAUUCACUCCUAACUGAUGCUAUCAAAAAUCUCUGUUUAUGAAUGAGACAGAAAGUCACUACAAAAAAAGUGUUCACAUUACAUUAUUGGCGCUUCUUUUGAUUCAAGUAUUUGUUUUCAUUAUUUUGUAUUACUCUGAUAUGUUUAUGAUCUUGUCUUCUGGGGAACAUAACGGCGAGGAGGGUACACGGGGUAAGUGCCAAAGCCGGGGCAGGGGGGCAGAG